AUUUCUUUAGUAUAUCAGUACAAAUGUCUUCCAAACAUUAAGUCCCACCGGGAAGAGAUA
rnacentral:tRNA from 1 species